rnacentral:rRNA from 1 species
UACGGAGGGAGCUAGCGUUGUUCGGAAUUACUGGGCGUAAAGCGCACGUAGGCGGCUUUUUUAAGUCAGGGGGUGAAAUCCCGGGGCUCAACCCCCGGAACUGCCCUUGAAACUGGAGAGCUAGAAUCUUGGAGAGGCGAGUGGAAUUCCGAGUGUAGAGGUGAAAUUCGUAGAUAUUCGGAAGAACACCAGUGGCGAAGGCGGUCUGCUGGGCCAAGACUGACGCUGAGGCGCGACAGCGUGGGGAGCAAACAGG